rnacentral:rRNA from 1 species
AACGAACGCUGGCGGCAUGCCUAACACAUGCAAGUCGAACGAAGCCUUCGGGCUUAGUGGCGCACAGGUGCGUAACGCGUGGGAAUCUGCCCUUUGGUUCGGAAUAACAGUUGGAAACGACUGCUAAUACCGGAUGAUGACGAAAGUCCAAAGAUUUAUCGCCAGAGGAUGAGUCCGCGUAGGAUUAGCUAGUUGGUGUGGUAAAGGCGCACCAAGGCGACGAUCCUUAGCUGGUCUGAGAGGAUAAUCAGCCACACUGGGACUGAGACACGGCCCAGACUCCUACGGGAGGCAGCAGUGGGGAAUAUUGGACAAUGGGCGAAAGCCUGAUCCAGCAAUGCCGCGUGAGUGAUGAAGGCCCUAGGGUUGUAAAGCUCUUUUACCCGGGAUGAUAAUGACAGUACCGGGAGAAUAAGCCCCGGCUAACUCCGUGCCAGCCGCCGCAGUAA